UUUGGAUUGGCUGAAAAUCCUGUCAAUCAAACUCUUGAUCCCUAAGGGUCUUUUGAUUGGUUUUCUGUUGGCGCAGGGGCGGGGCUUACGGUCUGACGUCAUCCACAGUGUUUGUAGCUGAGGUGACAGGAAAAUGUCGUGGACGAGGAGACGCCAGCGGAGGAUGAAAAAGCCAAAAUUUCACAAACAGACGGAGAAUUGUCACCGGAAGAUGUUUGGAAAAGAUAUUUAAAGGUUGUUGGUUCCAGCUGGAGCCAGACAGAACCGGCAGCAACCCGCGAAGAUACCGUCGCUACCGCCGUUUGUUUAGCGACGUUAGCCGUUAGCCGCUAGCUAGGCGACGUUAGCCGUUAGCCGUUAGUUUAGCGACGUUAGCUUCGUUAGCCGUUAGCUUCAGCUUCGUUAGCCGCUAGCUAGGCGACGUUAGCCGUUAGCUUCGUUAGCCGUUAGCUUAGCAACAUUAGCCCCGACAGCCCGGCGGCUCCGGGCCCAGCGGCUUCCCGACACAAGAGCCACAGCCGGGGGAGGAGGAGCCAGCCAGGCCCGGCCCACCUGUCUCUCCUCCAUCUUCCAGCAGCGCCCCGCAGGUGGAGACGGAGACGGAGGGCGAUGUGCGGGCUGACGGGGCUCAAACGCUGCCGGAGGCCGGAAUAAAGCAGCAGAUGUCCCGGCAGCAGAGCGACGCCACAGACACCUGGAGAGGCUUCCUCUCUCUCGGGAGGAGCCGCGGCCACAGUCGUGUGGCGCCGCUGAGGGAGGUGUAGAGCGACUCGCAGCACGUCACGCUGAACAACAAGCAGAGAGGAUGCUGGUAUUUGAAUUCUGCUGCUGGCGGCAUCGCCGGGGCGUUCAUCCACCAGAAGCACCAACACACCGUCAGACCAGCGCUGCGGGGACACGACUCCAGAACUCACCUCCACAUCAGUAACGUGAUGGAGCUGCAGCCUGGAGUCAUCCUGCUGCUCUGCCCCCUGCAGGCCAGUCUGAGGUGUGCAGCAGAGCAGCAGCCGGACUCUGACCAGGAAGUCCAUCCUGCUGACGACGGGCAGGACGACGCCAUCGGACCAUCAGAACGUCUGCCAGGAGCUGCAGGGCCGACACUACACCAACACGUCCUGACUGGCUGCUUACCCAGCAUGCUCUCUGCCUGCUGGUCACUCCUCUGCCGCUCUUCAGCGACGCCACACGACUGAAACACAAAGCAGCAGAGAGACAGUCAAUAAAGCUGAUUUCAAUCCGCCUUGUCUGCACUCACUUCAACACUAAUUAGCAGAAUUAAUGAUCAUUUAUGGUGAAUUAAGAAUCCUGUCAUCCAUCCUGUGCCGGUGACAUGAGGCUCUAAUAAACAGAGAAAAAUGAAUAGUAACAUUGAUAUUAAUAAAAUAUUAAACAUUUACAUGAAUGAAAUCAUUACUGUCCUGUUAGAAACUGUUUACAGUCGUUUGUAAAUGAUUGCAUUAAUGACUAAAUAUAAAAACUUUCAUUAUUGUAUUUGUUUUUAUUGUGUAUUGAAUUUGUUAGUUACAUUAAAUUAUAACAAAUGAAGAAACUAAAGUGUUAACAAUAAAUGUUUAUGCUAUUAUUACUA